AUGGAGACCAUGCGGAGCUACGCCGAGGACAUCGACGGCGGUCGGUCGCCGUCGGUCUCGAUGCUGUCGGAGGUGGCCGCUGCCAGGAAGAUCACCAUCGUCGGCGGAUCCGUGCCCGAGAUGGCUUCCGGGCAGCUGUUCAACACCUGCUGCGUGGUCGGGCCUGACGGGGAGAUCAAGGCCAAGCACAGGAAGCUGCAUCUGUUUGGAAUUGACAUCCCCGGAGACAUCACUUUCAGGGAAUCCGAUACCUUCACUCCUGGGCAAGAACCCACUGUAGUUGACACAGACGUUGGACGGAUUGGUAUUGGGAUUUGUCAUGAUAUCCGCUUCCCAGAACUGGCAAUGCUGUAUCGAUCAAGAGGUGCACACUUGAUAUGCUAUCCUUCUGCAUUCAACAUGAGCACCGGGCAGCUCCUCUGGGACCUUAUGCAAAAGUCCAGGGCUGUUGACAAUCAGUUGUUCGUGGCGACCUGCUCACCUGCACGAGACCCCAACUCGCAGUCGGACUUCGUGGCCUGGGGCAACUCAAGCCUCAUCGGACCAUUUGGCGAGGUUCUUGCGGCGGCAGGGCACGAGGACGCGACCGUCAUCGGCGAGAUCGACCUGUCUUUGAUUGAAGCUGUGAGGGCGAACCUCCCUUUGGAAACGCAGGGUAGAGGGGAUCUGUACAGGUUGGUCGAUGUCGAGAGGGAAUGA
rnacentral:rRNA from 1 species